GCUGGGGAAGCACAGGAAUCCCAUCCUUGUCGCCACGUUGUUGUAUCCUUGGGGGCAACAGUUUUAGGAAGAAAUCACUUGAGACACAGAGAGCUGUAAACCUUAAAAGGCAUCCAUUUAUUGCCACACACUGAACUAACCAAAAACCAGCCAAAACCAGCUGGGCUAUCCCCUAAUAACCUAACUCAGUUGCCAUAGUAACAACAAGAUUCUAUUACCAUGACAACCAAAUACACAACACCCCACUAUCUCAGUAUUUGUCUGUAACCAGCCCUGAGUGCUGGGACAGGGGAGAGGAAGGCAUGGAAAGUUUUGAUGAGCCUAGGCAGCUGUGUGAGCUGAUGACUUUGUCUAACCAGUUGGGGAAGGCAAGGAGUCUCUGAUGUUCAAUGUGGUGUUAGUUAACAACUGAAGCAUUUUCCAGGUUAAGGACAUCUGAGAGGGCUCUUCCCUGUAUGGACUUGCUGAUGCUUGAUGCCAUGUGAGCACAAAAUGCAGAUAACCUGCACCUGCAAUCUUACCCUGUCUGUGUGCUCCUGUCUCCAGUUCAGAUAGCAGAGUGUCUGGAGAUGGAAAGGAUAAAAGAGAGGGGUCAGCAACAGUUGGCACGCAGCCCGGCAGGGUAAUUCGCUGGCGGGCUGCGAGACAUUUUGUUUACAUUGAGCGUCCACACGCAUGGCCCCCUCUGCAGCUCCCAGCUGCUGUGGAUUACACACAAGAGGCUCCUGUGCUGGAGAGGCUCACCAGGAUUUACGCCUUCCCUUUUGGCCAACACCAGCUGCCAUAUGGGGCCAGAGCUGGUGGGCUGGGUCCACAUUUCAAGAGUGGCCUGAAAUGUUGGGUUCUAAACUGCUCUCGAGCACAUGCCCUGUGCUCGAGUUGUGUAGUUGGGAGAGAGAAACUGAGAUACCCCAAGUUUUGCUAUAUUUUUACCUUAAUGAUUUUGCCAAGGCUCUCUAAAUGAAUCAGCGUGAGACAUCCUGGUGCCUGGGCCCCUGCUCAAUUUGAUGACUCUCCAUUUUUUAUUAAAUAGCUACAUAACCUAAUUAUUAACCAAUUGGCCAGUCUAACUCCUCCCACAGUCUCAGAGACACACCGUGAUUUCCCCUCCUAGAUCCCAACUCUCAGUACCUUUGAAUUUCCUCACAGUCUCCAUUAAAACAAUAUUUUCUUGGGAGAAAUCACUGAGCCUCUUCUCUAGCUCUGGAGAAAUCUCCACUGGCUGCUGGAACUUCCCCUUCUCAUACCUGGAGAGAGAGAAUUUCAUUAUUACAUUUCAGUCACUAACUCACCAUCAUCCCUUGCUAGGGGAAGUCGCUGCUCUACGGGGCCUGCAGCACAGACUAUGGCCAUGCCACCUUCCCCCAAAAGCCCAAUUCAUGCUCUUCCACUCUGGCCUGGACAGAGCAGAUCUGAGGAUAAAAGAGGAGUUGAGUCUCCAGGGCCAAUUCUCUCGAUGGCCUCCAUGCACCAAUACUGGUAUGCUCCAUGUUGCUUGUGUGCAUCAUGCUACAAGAUCUUUCUUUCAGGUAGUAGACUGAGACCUCAGCUGCACCCAAACCAGCUCAUUCCACACAGGUCUCCAAACAGACUUCCAGUGGAAAAGACCCUUGAUCCCUGCUGAGCAGGGUCUGAUUAUUACCAGUACACUAGGGGUGAACGGCCCGUAUUGCAUCUCCAGAACCCUGAGGCAGUCAGUCCCUCAGGACGUCACAUCUCCGGGAAAUACUUUAGGUCAGUCUUUCCCACUGAAUAGAUAUUCCAGAGUAUUCUAUAAAAGGCGGAGACCCUCAGAAUUAAGUUGAUCAGAGAAAUUUUUAUCCAAGAAGUGACCCUGCCCCACGCGUUUUGCUGUAGAGCCCUGUGGAGAUGUGCUGUUAAUGUUCUCUCUAAGCCCUUUCACAGCAUCGUGAAGUACAAGGGGGGUGAGAAAGAGCCAUGUACCUGCUCAAGGUGCUUCUGAAAUCCUAGAGAGGAAACAGACAGAAAAACAACCUUAGUCUCACAUGCCAUGACGCCACCCGCUGGGGAUCCCAGGGAAGGGAUUUUGCAAAUAUUAGGAAAAGCAGCUUGGCCCGGGGCCCAGGCCAUGGAUCUGCUGACUCAAUGUCAUCUUUAUAUCUACGAGUGACACUGAGAUCUCCGACUUCUGCACCCCGGUGCCCAGGAUUCAGGAUCUGUCCUGUCCCUGUGGUGGGAUGUGGGAUGUUUCUAACUCAGUCUCACCUGCAGGAAUUCACUCGCUGGCUUCUGACCCUUCCCCUCCAGCUCACUGAUCAGCUCACUGAGAUGGGAAAUCUCCUCAGAAAGUUUACUGACAUUGUCAUUCUGUAUCUUUACAACCUUCCUGUCCAGCUUCUCCAGCCGGGCCAGCAGGAGUCGCUCUUGUUCCUCCAGGAACUGCCGCAGUUGCUGAAAUUCAGACACAAUCUUCUGCCUCUCGGCCUGUGUCUGGAUCUAUUAAAAAAAAUGGCAGGCCAGGGACAUAGAAUCUAGGGUCCUCUCAUGGAGUGCCGAAUGUGCAGGAGACACAAUUUCUUUGCAAGCUCUAAGAUGUCUGACACUUGACUUUACCCCGUGGUUAAUAGGGAGAGGAUUUUCUAACACAUUCCCACUACGGUGACCAGAUAGCAAGUGUGAAAAUUCAGGACAGGGGAUGGGGGUGGUGGUGGUAAUAGGAGCCUAUACAAGACAAAGUCCCAAAUAUCAGGACUGUCCCUAUAAAAUCAGGACAUCUGGUCACCCUAAUUCUCACCAGCCCUAAUAUCUCUCAAUGGGAAGUUUCUAUGACUAACAUGGGCAGGACACUGUGUUAUCAGAGGUCUAUGUUAAUCCAGACCCAGAGCAGAGGGAGGCAGGACUCAGCACUACAUUGACAGAGAUGCUAGGGGAGAAAAAAGAAUGGAACAAUUAAACAAGGCAAGAAAUGCCUGCAGACCCAGGCAGACAGCGCUGCCCGGGAUAUAGGUCAGUUCCCUUGGGAGGAGUUUUGUGAAAGCAGCAAGGGCUAGAAAUGAAUUGGAAUGAAAGUUGAGAUUCUGCAGAAUAUGAUGUUGUCCUGAUCCAGCCAGAGGAGUUCGCAGGGCCAGUGUAUGUGUGUGUGCAAACAUGAAUCUAACAUAGCAAUCCCUGGUCAUGGAGAAACACACACAAGCCCACUUUCUCCAAGGCCACAGUGGAAUCUGUUUCCCAACAGACCUCCCACUGCAAGUCUCUGCAGGUUAAUAACAUUGGGCACCUACCAGAUAUUCCCGGGUUUUCCUCACUCCAGUCACUUUAAAUCCCAGCAGCUUUUCUCUCUCUUCCUGCAGAGUCUCCAAAUGGGCCUGAAUCUUUCCCUGGAGAAACAGAAAUGAUUUGAGGGAGUUUAUUUUGAGGGUUCAGAGUGUGUUUGUGGAAAGGGGUGUUUUUCCAUUGCAACCGAAGACUCUGUAGGUGACUGUCAGCUCUACAGGGUCCAUGACAUCAGGAACCACAAGGAAAUAAAACCUCAUUAACAGAGACUAGGACUGUUUUAUAUUCAGACAGUUUAGAAUUAUUUGUCCUCUUUCUCCAUUGAGUUAAACUGGCAAGAAACUGGAGUCACAUGGUGGUGAAUCAGUAAACCUACAUUUGACAAGUUUUUGCUAACAACUUUGGCUGGUGCUUGGCCACAUACACAAUAACACAGUACAGACUGCAAUCCAGUCUAAUCCCAAUGGUAUCUGAUUUGGACCUGCGCUGUCUGGGGCCCUUCUGUGUUUGUAUUCAAGGUGCUGAGGGUCCACACAGAGUUUGGCUCAGUGACCUCCCCUAUUGCUGGUCGGCCUCUGAGUAUUAACCCCUCAUGGAGCAAUACAGGAAUUCAGAACCCCAGUGGGAAACCUCAUCUCCCUUCUGGGUCUGGGAUUGUCAUCAAGGCCUUGGCCUUGAAAUGGCCACACUUCAUCACAAGCAGGUACUGUUGGGGAGGCAACAUGGCCCAGCAGUUGGAGCUUUGGCCUAGGCCUUAGAAGACCCGGUUUCUGCUCCCAGCCACUCAUUUUCUGGGCACGUCAAAGCCCCUCUCUAUGGUUCAAUUUUCCCCUCCCACCCUUUGUGUCUCUUGUCUAUUUAGACUGUAAAGUCCUCAGGACAGGGAUUGUCUCUUUGUGUUUUGUGGGGGCCCUGCAGAAUCCAGGUCAGAUCUCAUCUGGGAUUUGUAGUGGUUACUGGGAUGCAAAUAUUAUUAUUAAUUAUUAUUAAUAAUAACAACAACAAUAAAUUUAGUAAUAGCAACAGCUUGUAACUCCCCCUUCUCCAGUCUGAAGGCAGCACUCUCACAUAGAUCAGCCUGCAGCUCUAGUGAUUUAAACCUCACUGAUCAUUUAGCAGCUUAAGUUGGGCUGUAGGAUCCCUUAUCACUUAUCUCACUAAUGGGAACUAGAUUUGAAAUAGCUUCAGCUGCUCAGAGAAAUGUUUCCCACAUCCAUCAUAUUUAAAGUCUUCAUUUUCGUCUCAUUAGCCACCUUACCCUGUACAUUUCUUUUCAUAUCGUUUUUCAUACUGUGAAGGCUUUAGGGAGCUGAAUGAUGCAGUUACAUCCACAGCUGUAGGAGGGAGAAAUUAAGCGUGACCGGCCAUGUUGGUGGAAGCUCUCUCUGCCCCCCAGGCUUUUAACUCACCCAUCCAUGCUCACAGCUGCAUUCCUGCCAGGGAGCCCCCUUUUCCCACAUAGUCCUGCUUCCUGACAGCUGUCUCUAGCCUUCUCCUUCCUCCAGAGCCCUGCUCUCUGAAAACCUCUUCCCCUGCCCCCAGCCCCGCAUGGAGGAAUCGGCCUGGCUGGAUGGUGGUGGAGUAGAGCAGAGGUUACAUGAGGACUGACUGGAGCAGCACUGGCUCCCCAGCAGAGAGCAGCUGGACCAGUGACCACAGAGCAGAACUGACUUCACAGCGCCCCAGCCCAGCCAGCUGGGAAAGCGGAGCUGAAAUUACAGACCUGGAUCAGGUAGCUCCUCAUUGGGGUGGGACAAGAUGG